UGCAGUCGAACGAUGAAGGGGAGCUUGCUCCUUGGAUUAGUGGCGAACGGGUGAGUAACACGUGAGUAACCUGCCCUUGACUCUGGGAUAAGCGUUGGAAACGACGUCUAAUACCGGAUAUGACAGCUGACGGCAUCGUCUGGUUGUGGAAAGAAUUUUGGUUGGGGAUGGACUCGCGGCCUAUCAGCUUGUUGGUGAGGUAAUGGCUCACCAAGGCGACGACGGGUAGCCGGCCUGAGAGGGUGACCGGCCACACUGGGACUGAGACACGGCCCAGACUCCUACGGGAGGCAGCAGUGGGGAAUAUUGCACAAUGGGCGCAAGCCUGAUGCAGCAACGCCGCGUGAGGGACGACGGCCUUCGGGUUGUAAACCUCUUUUAGUAGGGAAGAAGUGGCUCUUUUUUGAGUUGUGACGGUACCUGCAGAAAAAGCACCGGCUAACUACGUGCCAGCAGCCGCGGUAAUACGUAGGGUGCAAGCGUUGUCCGGAAUUAUUGGGCGUAAAGAGCUCGUAGGCGGUUUGUCGCGUCUGCUGUGAAAUCCCGAGGCUCAACCUCGGGCCUGCAGUGGGUACGGGCAGACUAGAGUGCGGUAGGGGAGAUUGGAAUUCCUGGUGUAGCGGUGGAAUGCGCAGAUAUCAGGAGGAACACCAAUGGCGAAGGCAGAUCUCUGGGCCGUAACUGACGCUGAGGAGCGAAAGCAUGGGGAGCGAACAGGAUUAGAUACCCUGGUAGUCCAUGCCGUAAACGUUGGGAACUAGAUGUGGGGGCCAUUCCACGGUCUCCGUGUCGCAGCUAA
rnacentral:rRNA from 1 species